rnacentral:rRNA from 1 species
GAUGAACGCUGGCGGCGUGCCUAAUACAUGCAAGUCGAGCGAAUGGAUUAAGAGCUUGCUCUUAUGAAGUCAGCGGCGGACGGGUGAGUAACACGUGGGUAACCUGCCCAUAAGACUGGGAUAACUCCGGGAAACCGGGGCUAAUACCGGCUAACAUUUUGAACCGCAUGGUUCGAAAUUGAAAGGCGGCUUCGGCUGUCACUUAUGGAUGGACCCGCGUCGCAUUAGCUAGUUGGUGAGGUAACGGCUCACCAAGGCAACGAUGCGUAGCCGACCUGAGAGGGUGAUCGGCCACACUGGGACUGAGACACGGCCAGACUCCUACGGGAGGCAGCAGUAGGGAAUCUUCCGCAAUGGACGAAAGUCUGACGGAGCAACGCCGCGUGAGUGAUGAAGGCUUUCGGGUCGUAAAACUCUGUUGUUAGGGAAGAACAAGUGCUAGUUGAAUAAGCUGGCACCUUGACGGUACCUAACCAGAAAGCCACGGCUAACUACGUGCCAGCCGCCGCCGUAA